GAUCAGUGAUGAAAUCUAGCCAAAUCUGAGCGUGCGUCACACCAGUGAUUAUGCCAAGA
ensembl:snoRNA